rnacentral:rRNA from 1 species
CCUACGGGAGGCAGCAGUGAGGAAUAUUGGUCAAUGGGCGUAAGCCUGAACCAGCCAAGUCGCGUGAGGGAUGAAGGUUCUAUGGAUCGUAAACCUCUUUUGUCAGGGAACAAAGGCGGGGACGUGUCCCCGGAUGAGUGUACCUGAAGAAAAAGCAUCGGCUAACUCCGUGCCAGCAGCCGCGGUAAUACGGAGGAUGCGAGCGUUAUCCGGAUUUAUUGGGUUAAAAGGGUGCGCAGGCGGUCUGUUAAGUCAGCGGUAAAAGCCCGGGGCUCAACCCCGGCCCGCCGUUGAAACUGGCAGUCUCGAGUUGGAGAGAAGUAUGCGGAAUGCGCGGUGUAGCGGUGAAAUGCAUAGAUAUCGCGCAGAACUCCGAUUGCGAAGGCAGCAUGCCGGCUCCACACUGACGCUGAGGCACGAAAGCGUGGGUAUCGAACAGGAUUAGAUACCCUUGUAGUC